AAAAUCUUUCAAAAGUAAAACUGAUACUAAGAGAUAAGCCAUAUGUUAAGAAAUACUCAAGAAGAGAGAGGAGGAAAGGCAGCAGCAGAGGAUGCGAGAAGAAUGGAGUUUGAUGCUGGAGCGUCAUCAUUGCCUAGUGACACUCCUAGCAACAGGAAACAUCUGUUUCAGCGUCGACCAAUCAGGAGCCGGUGCAGUCUGUUAUUGCUCGCUGCACAGAAAGGGGAUAUUUUAAGAGCCGAGAGUGAGCCGAAUACUACAGGGAUUAUAUCAAAAGCAAGACUUCGACAUCUGGGGGCGAAGCGUCAAGCUCACGCGGAGCUGAAAGCGGCUACAUUCGGCACGUUAUGAGCUGUUUUGAGCCUCUGGUUUGAUGAACGCGCGUGCGGGGACUGUUAAUGGGGCUUUAGAAAUAAGGAUCCAUUAGGCAAUGUGUGUGAGCCAGAGGAAAGAGUCUCAGGUCAAUAGAGGAUUUGUCAGAGAGGUGUGUGACUGUGUCCACGUGAAGCAGUUCUCAGGGUCUUUCCUCUAAGAGUGCCCUAAACGGUCAACAACGUCGAAAGUCGCCUACUUUAAGCGAAAAUAUGCGGAAGAGGAGGAUGUUCAGGGAAGCCUACAUGGAUAUUUACAAAAACACCUGAUCCUGCGUGAGGAGCGCAGCUGCAUCCUGCGCCUGUCUCUGCAGAAGCUGCGUUUCCUAGAUGACCCCGAGGCUUACCUUCGCCGCUCUGUGCUCAUCAACAACCUGCUACGCAAGAUCCACCUGGACGAAGCCCAGAGGGAAAGAGAGAAACAGAGGGAUGACAAGGAAGGGGAGGAGGAGACGGAGAGGAGGCGGAAGAGACUGAAGGUGGUGCUCCAGGAGUUCCAGCAGUACAAGCUGCUGCCGUUCUCAUCUUCUCCAGCCACGUGCAUCUGCGGCCUGGGCAGCUGCCACACCCUGCCUCCUGAUCAUGGAGCUUCAGUGCUGCUCUAUCACUUAGAUGAUAAAGGAUAAGAUGUCAUGCACACAUGCAGGGGAUUUUUCAUCUAUCUAUGACUGAUUUCCAGGAGCCAGCAUUAAGGGAGAAGAGGAUUCUGGUUUGUGUGCAUUUGUGCUUGUGCUGGUGAGCGUGAGCUCUGCGGUUAGUGACAUGAUAGGUGUCUAUCCAUAUCAGGGUGCAUUUUCCAACCGGAAAAAGACAUCAUCUUGUUAUCACUGCUUUGUUGAUAUGAACUUUGACCACAGACAUUUUGUUUUCAUAAAUUUGCUUGAGUGAGCUAUAAUCUUAAAGGGUUACUCCACCCCAAAAAAAAUAUUUUGUCAUUAAUCACUUACCCCCAUAAGUUCCAAACCUUUAAAAGCUUAGUUCGUCUUUGGAAACACAAUUUAAGAUAUUUUCAAUUUAAGAUACUCUUCUGUGUCAGCCACGCUGCAUGCUUUCGCUGUUUUCAAAUCAAAGUGUAAAUACACAUAGAAAAUGUAUCCUUGUGUCGCGGCUGACAGAACAAAAUACGCGGCUUGCCUUCAGCUCAUAUUCUUAUAAAUGGCUCUAUGGUGAUGCGAGAUACACAGAAGAGACGAAUUGUUGAAUAAAGUUUGUACUUUGCGUACAAAAAGUAUUCUCAUCAAUUCAUAAAGUAUCUUUCAUGAUUUUCUGGAUCUUGACAGUGUAACUGACUUUCAUAAGCCUCCCGGUUUUCAUCCAAAAUAUCUUAAACUGUGUUCCGAAGAUGAAUAAAGCUUUUACAGGUUUGGAACGACAUGGGGGGUAAGUGAUUAAUGACAAAAUUUACAUUUUGGGGUGGAGUAUCCCUUUAAGCACUGUUUUCAGGGAUUAAAAAAAGGCAAAUGAAAAGCCGUGCACCUUGUGGUUGUUAUAUUAUGUUGUAAGAAAAAAAAAAAGUAAACUGUAAGUGUCAAAGUCCUGGCUGCUCCUAAGGAUGGAGUCAUUUUUACUGAAGUUUUGUUGCUGUGAAAUGGACAUUUUUGUGUAAGUGGCUACUGAUGUCAAGCUAGUAAUGGAUUAAAAAAUAUAUAAGUUUCCAUAGCUUUAACAAAAAAUAACAAAAGAAAAGAAAACAGCAAAAUGUAGGGGCAAAUAAGAAGUGAAAUUUCUUUCUUUCAGGGCGUUCUUUUGGUGUUUAUUUUAAACGGGGUCUCACUCUCAGCAAAAAACGUACAAAACUCAUCAUAUCACACCGUACCCUUUCUAAAGGUAUCAAUAUGCACAUUUAAGAUACUAAUAUGUAACAUUUUGCCUAAAUAAUGUACAAAGAUGUGUUUUAGCUUUUGUGUCUAAUUAGAGUACCACCCCAAUGAAAGUUUUUGUACCUUUUUUUCUGAGAGUGUAGUGACAUGCAGCUUUCACGAUGUAAAAAGAAAAAAGAAAAAAAAAUACUGCAUUUUGCUACUUGUGUUUCAUUGCAUACAGCCUUUUGAGGCUUUUGGCAUAAACUGUUAUGUUAAGGUGACUCUGCCAUCUAGUGUUAUGGCGAUGAAUUCUCAGCUGCAUAGACCUUUUUGGUUCAUUCAUUCAAUCAACUGUACUACCUGCCAUUUAUAAUGCUGUUUUACACUUAUUUGUACCUUGUAACAAAUUUUAGUUGUCUGUCCAGUUUGUCUGGCCAGUAUACUGAGUUUCAAAUGCCUCAUUUCACACACACACACACACACACACGUUUGUUUUUGUGAAAAGUGGGGACAUCCCAGUAAUGGUUUUAUACUG